UCAGAGAAUGUAAGAUUUUGAAUUCGAACGUUUCUAAUGUUGUUUUUUAGAAUAAUUAACAUUGUAGGAUGUAUAUGAUAUCACAUAUAGUUUCUUUUACAAAGAAAUGGUUCUUUCUUUGUAUGAAAUUCUAGUUGAAUAUUUUUCCUAAUUAACGAGCUUUUCAUUUGGUUUUUUGAGAUAUUUUUUUUAACGAGAUUGAAGUAAGCACUUUAUAUUUGAACAAUUGAAUAUUCAUAUAA
rnacentral:lncRNA from 1 species